AAUUUUAUUUUAUUUAGGGCCCAAGAGUGUUGCAACAGCGUGAGAGAGCUGUGAUAACAAUCUGACAAGAUCAGAUUUCAGCUAUGAUAACAAUCUGACAAGAUCAGAUUUCAUUUUUCCUGCCAGUAUCUGUAAAACCAGAUUUCCAUCUCUGCCAGUCUCUGCAAAUCAGAUUUCUUUUCCCUGCAGCGUCUUUACAUCUACCCAGAGACCACUUUCUUUCAAAUCUGCCCAAACUCUUCCUCUUCCCAACACAUCACUUUGCUAGAACAUUCUCACUCUUUUUACAUCAAAUCUGCAGUAACUCACCUUCCUCCUCUCACUUCCUCACUCUCACUAAACAUACUUUUCAACUCAAAAGGAAAUAAGCUUCACUAUUCUACUUCUACUGCAGGAAUUCAAGACCACAACACUAACUAAUCAAGGUUCGAGUAACCAAGGGCUUUAGAGCUACAAGAAGAGCAAGCACUGAAUCUCCACAUCGAGGUUAGGCGGCUGGUGCGCACGGUGCUGAGCUGGGGAGUGUUUCAUAUCCCGACGACUAGCUACUCCUUAGAUAAUCUAGUUGAAUUUCUGAAUAACAUCAAUCUAAUUCUGUUGAGCUCAGACUCAUUAUUUCUAUUCCGCUGCACUGUUUGAAUGUUAAAAUAUCAGGGUUGUGAAACUAAACCUCUUUAGAUCCCUGGGGAUUUCCUCCAUAUGAUGAACUCGUUCUAUGUCAUCAUUAACCAUCUAUGUAAUAAGCCCUUUUAUUUAUCGUA